AUCUGGCGCAGAUAGCCUUCGCCGAUUCCGAUGAAGGCCGCUGCCUCUGCCGGGCUGAAGAGCCGCAUCGUCUUUUGCGCCGACGGAG
rnacentral:sRNA from 1 species